CCUACGGGAGGCAGCAGGGAGGAAUAUUGGGCAAUGGACGAGAGUCUGAACCAGCCAAGGAGCGUGAAGGAUGACGGCCCGAUGGGUGGUAAACUUCUUGUAUAAAGGAAGAAAACGAGGCACGUGUGCCGUUUUGCAUGUACUUUAUGAAUAAGGAUCGGCUAACUCCGUGCCAGCAGCCGCGGUAAUACGGAGGAUCCGAGCGUUAUCCGGAUUUAUUGGGUUUACAGGGAGCGUAGAUGGGUUGUUAAGUCAGUUGGGAAAGUUUGCGGCUCAACCGUAAAAUUGCAAUUGAUACUGGCAGUCUUGCGUACAGUUGCGGUCGGCGGAAUUCGUUGUGUAGCGGU
rnacentral:rRNA from 1 species